rnacentral:sRNA from 1 species
AUUUUAUGCGCAGGCAUCAAGCCCUGACACUAUUACUGAUGCCAUGUUGUGCUUGCAGACAGGAGCUGCCUCUGAGAGAUACUGUUACUUACAGCCAACUACUGCACUGAGGUUGAGUUAGGGGAAGAAUUGAAGGAGCUGAAGGCGAUUGCAACCUCCUGGGAAGAACAUGAGUAUAACUCACCUGGACUCCCUCAGAGCUCCUGGAAACUAAGCCACCAACUAAAGGAGGCUGACCUGAUGGACAAAUCAGGGAGCUCCCUGCCUCUGGAAGUCGAGAGGUGCCGUCACCAGCUGCUGAGGAGAUGGACGGCGUUGCACGUGGGUUUCUAGUGGCUCGUUCUCAGGGAGGCUCAAGUCUGUAGCCGGGGUGACUGACUACUGCAGAGCUGUGCUCAGUGAUCCUGGACUCCGUGAAAGGUGUGCAUUAUUGAAGGCAGUGAGACAAAGAGUGUCAGGAACUCCGCGAGGAGCAAGAAGCCUACCUCGAACACAGCCUAUUGGGAACACGCUCACCCAAGUAUAUAUAUAAAAAAAUUCAAGUACAUAUUUUCAAAAACACUAAGUGUUUAAUUGUGUGUGUGUAUCGGGAUAUCUACAUGUAAGUGCAUGAGUCCAUGGAAGUUUGAAACACUGGAUCCUAUGGAGCUGGAGGUACAGGUACGAAAAGCACCUGAAGUAGAGGGAUAAAAUCCUCUUGUUGGAGAUGGCUGCAGCUGGGCUUUGCCAGAAGCCAGAUGAACCUGGAGGCAUCAUCAUGAUGGUCACUUAGCAACCUGCGAAAGAACAUUGGUUAGGAAGAUCUGGUACUUACAACAUACAAUGACUGCACAUUUACAGGUCAGUGCAACACUCAGCCGUCACCAGGGAAGCUUCUUCCUACAGGAGAUAGGAAUUAACACCAGGGCAACAUGCAGAGGGAGACUCUGGAGACUCAGUUCUGCACGGGACGUCCUGAUCAAAACCCUCAGCUCAUGGCUCAGGGAUCUCUACAGAGGAGGGAGCAGGAAGAGGUCUGUAGCUUUAGCCUAUCAAGGGAUUUACCAUCUUCAGUCUGUGGUCUAACGCAAUGGCUGUCACUCAGGAAAUUGGGUGAACGAACACUGGCUGACAAAGUUAACUGACAGAACGGGCAACUACUCGUCUCUUGUGCGCAGACUUCGUCACACAAAGCAACCGAACACAGGUAGUCCUGUCUGCACGAUGUGUACACUGUGCGUCUCCAGGGCAACGAUCACACACAAGAGACCAACAAAUGUGAGGAUCACUGGGAUUUUCAGCUGUUAUUUUGAGAGCUGGCUGCCAAGACUGGAGUUCCUUUCCUGUGGCCCAUUCCUCCAGAAAAAGCAUGCUUGGCGGCUAUGGAACCCAGGAGAGCAGUACUAAGUCUGGAGGAAGAAGAUGUGCUCCAAUGGAAGGUAAGUAAGGAAAAGUGGUAUAAAAUUGUAUUGAGGCCAAUACAUUCCCUCCCAUACAAUUCAUUCUGUAAGGCUUGGUCUGAAACUCAGAAUUGUCUUUAAAACAAAUUUCUAAAUCUUAUAAUUAUCUGGCCUUCUCUCUUACAAAAGGAAGACAGUGAUAUAUAACCUUAAUUAUCUUUGGAAAGAUCAGCUCUGGGCAACGUUUUAAGAAGGAUUGCUUAAAAAAAUUCGAAGAUUGAGUGAAAAACUAAAUCACUUAUUUUGAUUUAUGUAUUAACGCAGUGUGUUACGCUAGGGGCUGUAGCUGUGUCUUAGCGUUAGAGUGCUUACCUAGAAUGCACAAGGCUCUGGACUGGAAAAUUCCCAGAACUGGAAAAAGACCACCCUCUCACCCCUCAGACCAACAGAACAACCAACCAACCAACCAACCAACCAACCAACCAACCAACCAAUCAACACCCUCCCCCCAUCAAAAUGGUGUUUACUGCUUAUCAACAACGUGUUAUGCUGAGUAAGUCAAGCCCUUGUUCUGCACACAUGGUAAUUUAUAGCCACUCACCAGCCUCAGCUGAAUGCAGUUAUGGAGACCAAGAUAACAUCAGCCAAGAACUUCCAGUUAGGAAGGCAGUUGGGAUAAUCCAGGCAGCAAAGACUGUACAAAUGUGAGUAAUAGAAACACAAUACUACAGGGCAGGGAUAAGCCUAGUUGUUGAGAAUCCAUGUUGUGGUGUUGGAAGCAAUUGCAGAAAGACAAUAGACAGCGGAAAGACAACAGACAGUGGGUCAAAAGGAUUUUGCUAAGAAGACACCAAGAGGAAAUAAGUUACAUAGUAGAGAGGAGGUUGGGAUAUAUCAGCACUAUACUGCUGAUUAACAAAAGGAAGUUGGCUAUUUUGGGAAAAAUUGAACAUUAAAUCAACCUGGACAUGGUAGCACACACACUUGUAUUUCCACCUACCAGGAGGCUGAAGCAAGAGGACUGCAAGUUCAAAGCCUGGGCAAUUUAGUGAGACCCUAUUUCAAAACAAAACACCAUCACUAACAAAGGAAACAGAAGAUUUUCAUUUCAUUGACACAUUAAACAGAUGCAGGAAGGAAGGAAGGAGGUGGAGGGGGGGCAAUAUGGUUAAAAAUUUUUUUCAUUUACUUUUUGCUACAGGGACUCACUGGGUAGCUGUGGCAGGCCUGGAACUUACUGUGUAGACCAGGCUGACCUUGAACUAAUAGAGAUCUGCCUGCUUCUAUCUACAGAAUGCCAGCAUUCUGGGUGUGCAUCACCACAUCAAGCCUAAAACUUGUUUAUAGGUGCAUGAGCACAUUAUCAGUAGCUAUAACUACUGCAGAAAUGUUUCUCCUUCACCCAUCAGCCAUUAUUAACUGCACAUAAAAACUCAGGAUAAUAUGAUCUUAGGAAUUUGGAUUGAGAGUUAAGUUCAUGUGCAUUAACACAGAAGGUUGGAAUUGGUGGUCAAGACUGUACUACCGAUAACAAGCACUAGGUUGUGAAGUAUAUGUCAAAGCACUGUCUUUGGUCUUUAAAAGUACAUUUGUGAGAGGAGACUGCAUCCUUCUCCCUAGCCUAAAGUCAUCAUUGUUUCCUGGGAGUCUCAAAGGAAAUAGAAGGACUCUGAUUCAAAGAUCUGUAUCUGACAACUCUUUGAAGUAGGGAGACAUAAGGUAUAGAAUAAAUAAGGUAGAAUCUAUUAAUACAGGUAGUUUGAUGUACUUUCUGAAGAUGGUCAUAUUAGGAAAGACUUUUGGGAGUUCAAGCCUGAAUGUAACACCACAAUCUUUUGAAGUACUUUGAAAAAAAUUACUUUUAAUAAGAAGAAAAUUUAAAAAUUAUAGA